rnacentral:rRNA from 1 species
CCUACGGGGGGCAGCAGUGAGGAAUAUUGGUCAAUGGACGAGAGUCUGAACCAGCCAAGUAGCGUGAAGGAUGACUGCCCUAUGGGUUGUAAACUUCUUUUAUAUGGGAAUAAAAUGUUCCACGUGUGGGAUUUUGUAUGUACCAUAUGAAUAAGGAUCGGCUAACUCCGUGCCAGGAGCCGCGGUAAUACGGAGGAUCCGAGCGUUAUCCGGAUUUAUUUGGGUUAAAGGGAGGGUAGGGGGAUGGUUAAGUCAGUUGUGAAAGUUUGCGGCUUAACCGUAAAAUUGCAGUUGAAACUGGCAGUCUUGAGUACAGUAGAGGUAGGCGGAAUGCGUGGUGUAGCGGUGAAAUGCUUAGAUAUCACGAAGAACUCCGAUUGCGAAGGCAGUUCACUGGACUGCAACUGACACUGAGGCUCGAAAGUGUGGGUAUCAAACAGGAUUAGAUACCCGUGUAGUC